GACGAACGCUGGCGGCGUGCCUAAUACAUGCAAGUAGAACGCACAGUUUAUACCGUAGCUUGCUACACCAUAGACUGUGAGUUGCGAACGGGUGAGUAAAGCGUAGGUUACCUGUCUGGUAGCGGGGGAUAACUAUUGGAAACGCUGGCUAAUACCGCAUAAUAUUGAUUAUUGCAUGGUAAUUAAUUGAAAGGUGCAAUUGAACCACUACUAGAUGGACUUGCGUUGUAUUAGCUAGUAGGUGAGGUAAUGGCUCAUCUAGGCGACGAUACAUAGACGACAGGAGAGGGUGGGUAGCCGCACUGGGAGUGUGACACGGCCCAGUGGGCUAGGGGAAGCGGCCAGAGUGAAUCGUCGGCAAGGGGCGAAAGUCUGAGCAAGAUACGCCGCGUCAGGAAAGAACGUUGUCGGGUCGUAAAGGUCGGUUGUAAGGGAAGAAAGGGUGUGAGAGUGUGAAGUUCACUGUGUGACGGUAACUUAUCAGAAAGGGACGGCUAACUACGUG
rnacentral:rRNA from 1 species